rnacentral:rRNA from 1 species
GACGAACGCUGGCGGCGUGCCUAAUACAUGCAAGUCGAGCGAACAGACGAGGAGCUUGCUCCUCUGACUUUAGCGGCGGACGGGUGAGUAACACGUGGUCAACCUAACUAUAAGACUGGGAUAACUUCGGGAAACCGUAUCUACUACCGGAUAAUAUAUUGACCCGCAUUGUUCAAUCGUGAAAGAAGCUUUUUCUGUCACUUAUAGCUUGCUCAGCGCCGCAUUAGCUAGUUGGUAAGGUAACUGCUUACCAAGGCAACGAUGGGUACCCGACCUAAGAGGGUGAUCGGCCACACUGGAACUGAGACACGGUCCAGACUCCUACGGGAGGCAGCAGUAGGGAAUCUUCCGCAAUGGGCGAAAGCCUGACGGAGCAACGCCGCGUGAGGGAUGAAGGUCUUCUGAUCGUAAAACUCUGUUAUUAGGAAAGAACAAAUGUUUAAGUAACUAUGCACGUCUUGACGGUACCUAGUCAGAAAGCCACGGCUAACUACGUG